UGGAGUCAUACAAAUAAGGUACAGCCUAUUUGAAACAGGACACAACCUCAACUAACGGGUAAACUAACGGCUACGAUGAUCAAGUAGGCUUAAGAGCAGCCAUCUUCAAAAUAGCGUCUAAGCUUAAUUAUUUAGCCAUUUAAUUUCCUUAAUCUUCAUCAACCCUUUAUCCGUACCGAGUAAUUCUAUACACCUAUAGAAUUUUUUAUGUUAGAACUAGUAACAAGAAGAAGACCUUUUCUAAAAUGCAGGUGUAAAUCAUAGAGGACCCACCACUGAUAAUUAACAUAUCUGAAUCCACAGUAGUAACUCGACAAUAAAAUCGCAUUAUUCUUUAUGUUAUCCUCACUCGAGAGCGUUGCUAAACAGAUUUUAAGAGAAAGAAGCAACUCGGCAACGAUUAGCCUCGCCUAGUUACCAAAACA
rnacentral:rRNA from 1 species